rnacentral:rRNA from 1 species
GGUUAAGCGACUAAGCGUACACGGUGGAUGCCCUGGCAGUCAGAGGCGAUGAAGGACGUGCUAAUCUGCGAAAAGCGUCGGUAAGGUGAUAUGAACCGUUAUAGCCGGCGAUGUCCGAAUGGGGAAACCCAGUGCAAUUCGUUGCACUAUCGUUAACUGAAUACAUAGGUUAACGAGGCGAACCGGGGGAACUGAAACAUCUAAGUACCCCGAGGAAAAGAAAUCAACCGAGAUUCCCCCAGUAGCGGCGAGCGAACGGGGAGCAGCCCAGAGUCUGAAUCAGCUUGUGUGUUAGUGGAACGGUCUGGAAAGUCCGACGGUACAGGGUGAUAGUCCCGUACACCAAAAUGCACAGGCUGUGAACUCGAAGAGUAGGGCGGGACACGUGGUAUCCUGUCUGAAUAUGGGGGGACCAUCCUCCAAGGCUAAAUACUCCUGACUGACCGAUAGUGAACCAGUACCGUGAGGGAAAGGCGAAAAGAACCCCGGCGAGGGGAGUGAAAAAGAACCUGAAACCGUGUACGUACAAGCAGUGGGAGCACCUUCGGGUGUGACUGCGUACCUUUUGUAUAAUGGGUCAGCGACUUAUAUUCUGUAGCAAGGUUAACCGUAUAGGGGAGCCGCAGGGAAACCGAGUCUUAACUGGGCGUUAAGUUGCAGGGUAUAGACCCGAAACCCGGUGAUCUAGCCAUGGGCAGGUUGAAGGUUGGGUAACACUAACUGGAGGACCGAACCGACUAAUGUUGAAAAAUUAGCGGAUGACUUGUGGCUGGGGGUGAAAGGCCAAUCAAACCGGGAGAUAGCUGGUUCUCCCCGAAAGCUAUUUAGGUAGCGCCUCGUGAAUUCAUCUUCGGGGGUAGAGCACUGUUUCGGCUAGGGGGUCAUCCCGACUUACCAACCCGAUGCAAACUACGAAUACCGAAGAAUGUUAUCACGGGAGACACACGGCGGGUGCUAACGUCCGUCGUGAAGAGGGAAACAACCCAGACCGCCAGCUAAGGUCCCAAAGUCAUGGUUAAGUGGGAAACGAUGUGGGAAGGCACAGACAGCCAGGAUGUUGGCUUAGAAGCAGCCAUCAUUUAAAGAAAGCGUAAUAGCUCACUGGUCGAGUCGGCCUGCGCGGAAGAUGUAACGGGGCUAAACCAUGCACCGAAGCUGCGGCAGCGACACUAUGUGUUGUUGGGUAGGGGAGCGUUCUGUAAGCCUGCGAAGGUGACCUGUGAGGGUUGCUGGAGGUAUCAGAAGUGCGAAUGCUGACAUAAGUAACGAUAAAGCGGGUGAAAAGCCCGCUCGCCGGAAGACCAAGGGUUCCUGUCCAACGUUAAUCGGGGCAGGGUGAGUCGACCCCUAAGGCGAGGCCGAAAGGCGUAGUCGAUGGGAAACAGGUUAAUAUUCCUGUACUUGGUGUUACUGCGAAGGGGGGACGGAGAAGGCUAUGUUAGCCGGGCGACGGUUGUCCCGGUUUAAGCAUGUAGGCUGGUUGUCCAGGCAAAUCCGGAUAAUCAAGGCUGAGGUGUGAUGACGAGGCACUACGGUGCUGAAGUAACAAAUGCCCUGCUUCCAGGAAAAGCCUCUAAGCAUCAGGUAACAUUAAAUCGUACCCCAAACCGACACAGGUGGUCAGGUAGAGAAUACCAAGGCGCUUGAGAGAACUCGGGUGAAGGAACUAGGCAAAAUGGUGCCGUAACUUCGGGAGAAGGCACGCUGGUGUGUAGGUGAAGCCCCUGCGGGUGGAGCUGAGACCAGUCGAAGAUACCAGCUGGCUGCAACUGUUUAUUAAAAACACAGCACUGUGCAAACACGAAAGUGGACGUAUACGGUGUGACGCCUGCCCGGUGCCGGAAGGUUAAUUGAUGGGGUUAUCCGUAAGGAGAAGCUCUUGAUCGAAGCCCCGGUAAACGGCGGCCGUAACUAUAACGGUCCUAAGGUAGCGAAAUUCCUUGUCGGGUAAGUUCCGACCUGCACGAAUGGCGUAAUGAUGGCCAGGCUGUCUCCACCCGAGACUCAGUGAAAUUGAACUCGCUGUGAAGAUGCAGUGUACCCGCGGCAAGACGGAAAGACCCCGUGAACCUUUACUAUAGCUUGACACUGAACAUUGAGCCUUGAUGUGUAGGAUAGGUGGGAGGCUUUGAAGCGUGGACGCCAGUCUGCGUGGAGCCAACCUUGAAAUACCACCCUUUAAUGUUUGAUGUUCUAACGUUGGCCCCUGACCGGGGUUGCGGACAGUGUCUGGUGGGUAGUUUGACUGGGGCGGUCUCCUCCCAAAGCGUAACGGAGGAGCACGAAGGUUAGCUAAUCCUGGUCGGACAUCAGGAGGUUAGUGCAAUGGCAUAAGCUAGCUUGACUGCGAGCGUGACGGCGCGAGCAGGUGCGAAAGCAGGUCAUAGUGAUCCGGUGGUUCUGAAUGGAAGGGCCAUCGCUCAACGGAUAAAAGGUACUCCGGGGAUAACAGGCUGAUACCGCCCAAGAGUUCAUAUCGACGGCGGUGUUUGGCACCUCGAUGUCGGCUCAUCACAUCCUGGGGCUGAAGUAGGUCCCAAGGGUAUGGCUGUUCGCCAUUUAAAGUGGUACGCGAGCUGGGUUUAGAACGUCGUGAGACAGUUCGGUCCCUAUCUGCCGUGGGCGCUGGAGAAUUGAGGGGGGCUGCUCCUAGUACGAGAGGACCGGAGUGGACGCAUCACUGGUGUUCGGGUUGUCAUGCCAAUGGCACUGCCCGGUAGCUAAAUGCGGAAGAGAUAAGUGCUGAAAGCAUCUAAGCACGAAACUUGCCCCGAGAUGAGUUCUCCCUGAGACUUUAAGUCUCCUGAAGGAACGUUAAAGACGAUGACGUUGAUAGGCCGGGUGUGUAAGCGCAGCGAUGCGUUGAGCUAACCGGUACUAAUGAACCGUGAGGCUUAACCUU